rnacentral:rRNA from 1 species
CCUACGGGAGGCAGCAGUGGGGAAUCUUGCACAAUGGAGGAAACUCUGAUGCAGCGAUGCCGCGUGAGUGAAGAAGGCCUUUGGGUUGUAAAGCUCUUUCGUCGGGGAAGAAAAUGACUGUACCCGAAUAAGAAGGUCCGGCUAACUUCGUGCCAGCAGCCGCGGUAAUACGGAGGGACCUAGCGUAGUUCGGAAUUACUGGGCUUAAAGAGUUCGUAGGUGGUUGAAAAAGUUGGUGGUGAAAUCCCAGAGCUUAACUCUGGAACUGCCAUCAAAACUUUUCAGCUAGAGUAUGAUAGAGGAAAGCAGAAUUUCUAGUGUAGAGGUGAAAUUCGUAGAUAUUAGAAAGAAUACCAAUUGCGAAGGCAGCUUUCUGGAUCAUUACUGACACUGAGGAACGAAAGCAUGGGUAGCGAAGAGGAUUAGAUACCCUCGUAGUCCAUGCCGUAAACGAUGUGUGUUAGACGUUGGAAAUUUAUUUUCAGUGUCGCAGGGAAACCGAUAAACACACCGCCUGGGGAGUACGACCGCAAGGUUAAAACUCAAAGGAAUUGACGGGG